rnacentral:rRNA from 1 species
ACGGGGGGUGCAAGCGUUGUUCGGAAUUAUUGGGCGUAAAGCGCGCGCAGGCGGCUGGGUAAGUCAGAUGUGAAAUCCCUGGGCUUAACCCAGGAAGUGCAUUUGAAACUACUUAGCUUGAGUACGGGAGAGGAAAGUGGAAUUCCUGGUGUAGAGGUGAAAUUCGUAGAUAUCAGGAGGAACACCGGUGGCGAAGGCGACUUUCUGGCCCGAUACUGACGCUCAGGCGCGAGAGCGUGGGUAGCAAACAG